UGUAGAGCAAAGUUAAAGCAAAUGCGACUAAUUGCCGUAGCACACAAUUCGAAUUGCUUAAAGAGCGUAAAGAGCCAACGUACUGUUGGUUUUCGUUGCCGCUGUGCUGGCUGCAGGUUGUUGCCGCAUGUAGUUGUGGCAUGCUGUUGUUUACAUUUGCAUUGCGUUCAGCUUUCACGCUGCUCAGCUGCUUAGUGGCAGCUGCCACAGCAGCGCCAUAUGGCCAACCCUGUGGCGAGAAUGAGGAACGCGCCUGUUUGCCCUGCUAUGAGCCGAGCUGCUCGGUGCCCUUUAACUACGAUGGCUCCUGCUCAACGGUCUGUCAUCUGGGCUGCGGCUGCAAAACCAGCUUUGUGCGUGACGACAGCUCCUUGAAGUGUGUGUCCAUGUAUCAGUGCGACAAUAUGCAACUUCAUCGAAUUCCCUAACGCCAUUAAAGCGUUAAGCAUGAACUGCACUUUUUUUUUAGUUCUUAAGCAUUUGCCAGGGUUUGCGGGCGCAGACUUAUGAGGAGUUAAGGGAAAAUGGCGAACUAACGCCCAAAACUCUUUGUCUACGCGAUAUUACCGGACACGUAACUAUCUGUUACAAAUAAAAACUUUAACUGCAAA
rnacentral:sRNA from 1 species